UACGAAGGGUCCAAGCGUUAUCCGGAUUUAUUGGGUUUAAAGGGUGCGUAGGCGGCUUAUUAAGUCAGUGGUGAAAGCCUGCAGCUUAACUGCAGAACUGCCAUUGAUACUGAUGGGCUUGAGUAUAGUUGAGGUGGGCGGAAUGUGUCAUGUAGCGGUGAAAUGCUUAGAUAUGACACAGAACACCGAUUGCGAAGGCAGCUCGCUAAACUAUAACUAACGCUGAGGCACGAAAGCGUGGGGAGCGAACAGG
rnacentral:rRNA from 1 species